GUCGUGGAGGUGGAUCUGGCAAUUUUAUGGGUCGCGGAGGGAACUUUGGAGGUGGUGGAGGUAAUUUUGGCCGUGGUGGAAACUUUGGUGGAAGAGGAGGCUAUGGUGGUGGAGGUGGUGGCAGCAGAGGUAGUUAUGGAGGAGGUGAUGGUGGAUAUAAUGGAUUUGGAGGUGAUGGUUGAAUGAGAACCCUACUUGCCUAAAUGAGGAAUGUCUUUCCUACCAUCUAAAAUACGAAGGUUUCUGGCUGGGUAAGGUUUGUAGUUGACAGUAAAACCUGAUGACACCAUUUGUUUCCCUGCAAGUCUACAUUACAUAUUUCACAACUUUGUCCCUCUCUAGUAGGCACAUUGGAAAAAUUCUUCAACUGAAAACUACCUUGGUACCAUGUCCUACACGUUUUAAACCUUAGUUUUAAAAAUUCCCCUGCGAAAUAGCCAUAAGUAUUCAUAUCAAGUCAGUUGUGACUCCUUGUGUAUACAAUUCAUUUUUUGUGUCUUCAGGGUAAACUCAAUUUUUGGUAAAGUGGUUUCAGCUUUUGUGAAAACCGUUUUGGUGUGUAAGCAUGACACACAACAGACUCAGUAAGCUGCCCAUCCUCAUACUAGGAAAACACCUUCAAAGGAACAUUAAAAGUUACCAGGGCCAGGCACAGUGGCUCACGCCUGUAAUCCCAGCACUUUGGGAGGCUGAGGCAGAUGGAUCCCAAGUCCAGGAAUUUGAGACGAGCCUGGGCAACAUAGUGAGAGCCUGUCAACAAAAAAUAGAAAAAUUAGUUGGGCUUGGUGAUACACAUCUGUAGUCCCAGCUAUUUGGGAGGCUGCCUUGAUAUCAGGCAGUCGAGGCUGCAGUGAGCUGACUGCCCCACUGUAUUCCAGCCUGGGUGACCCCAUCUCAAAGAAGAAAAGUUACCAGAUGUCAUGGGUAAAGGUUGGUCUUCAAGUGGCCUCAUAAGUUGUCUUGCAUUUAAAUUCAGGGAAUUCAUUGGACCAAUAGGUUACAUUUUCGUUCCUUUUUUGUUUUGGUUCAUCUGUUAAGCAGUGGGGGCCUAAUUACUGCUCCUUUGUAAAAACACAUUUUCCCAAAGAACACUGAAUUACCGUUCAAACUGGUUGUUGAUGGGUAAUAAGGGCUGUUUUUGCUGCCCCAAAAGGGCUUAACAAUUUAGUCGGAUAGUUUACUUAAAAAAAAAAAUCCUUUGGAGACAUACUGAAAAUGCAAACUAGUUUCUAAAUUAUCAAUUCCCUACAUGAAGAAGCAGUUUGCCAGAGUUUAGUCUCAGAAAAUGACUGGUUGGCUCUAUUUAAAUCAGAACCCAAUUUCUACGCGUGUUGAAUAAGGUAACAGCCUUUGAUGAAUUUCCUUCACAACAUGGUUUUAGUGAAGCAAACAUUUUUUUUUUAAGGGCAUUGUUCUUUCUAGUUUAUUUCUUUUUAUGAAAUAAAAUUAUUUUAUUUAAACAGUUCCAUUGUCGUUUCUGAAAACUACAGUAUUCUCAGAAGUUGUAGCAGCAGUAAAAAAAAAAAAGUUGUUAUAUAAGUGAUUGGGGCAGAUUUAACUGAUUUUGUUAAACCAAUUUGUAAGUUACUGCUUCUAAUAUUACACUUCUAAAAAGCUGAAUUUAUACUCAUGUCCUAAAGGAGAAUAUGUGGUAAUAAAGUAUAUUUGUUAAGUAACUAAUUGAAAUAGGCUUGGUUUUAAGAGUUCCAGUAUAUAAUAAUCACAAAUUGAAACCUGACAGUAUCUUGGGAGUUCCAGUAAUGUCACAAAUUAGUGAAUAAGCAUGCCAGUGUGCAAGGGUAAUGUAAGGAUUGUUAGCCUAUCUAAAUAUUCAAAAUUACUUUAAAACUUAAGUAUGUUUUCUGAUUUUUAAGAAUUCAGAAGUGUUCUGUAAUGGAUUCAGAUGUUUCAUUUGUAGUAUAAUGAAAUGUUUACAGAAAGAUAACUUUUUCAUUAAAAUAUUUUUAG
rnacentral:lncRNA from 1 species